rnacentral:rRNA from 1 species
UACGAAGGGUGCUAGCGUUGUUCGGAAUUACUGGGCGUAAAGGGCGCGUAGGCGGUUUGGCAAGUUGGAUGUGAAAGCCCAGGGCUCAACCCUGGAAUUGCAUUCAAGACUGCUUUACUUGAAUUCGGUAGAGGUUGGUGGAAUUCCCAGUGUAGAGGUGAAAUUCGUAGAGAUUGGGAAGAACACCCGUGGCGAAGGCGGCCAACUGGACCGACAUUGACGCUGAGGCGCGAAAGCGUGGGGAUCAAACAGG